UUAUCAAUACACUAAAAUUAUACAUAUAUGUAUCAUUUGCUUUAGUUUGUGUUGCCAUUCUGAAGUGGAUGGUAAAUGAUCUUGCUGAGCGAAAGGAUCAAGAGAUGUAAUAAAAGGAGGCAUGCUGAUAUGAUAUUCCAAUGUUAAAGUCAAAGUGAGUUUAACCGGUAUGUAAUAGACAUACCUUCGAUCGAAAGGUCGAGGUUUGAAUCUUCAGGUUAAAUAAAUUUAUCUUUUCUUUAUUUUA